rnacentral:rRNA from 1 species
GGGUCGGCCCUGCCCGGUGGGGUGAGCCCUUAACGGCUGCAGUUGGUAGCUGUACUAAGGUAGCGUAAUAAAUUGCCCUUUAAUUGGGGGACGGUAUGAAUGGGUUGACGUGGGAAAAACUGUCUCCUUAACAAUGUUCAAAAUUUUCUUUUUGGUGAAAAGGCCAAAAUAUUUGUAAAAGACGAGAAGACCCCAUGGAGCUUAAUAAAUGUUUGUUUAAUAAACAGACAGGAAGUUUUACUGGGGCAGUAGGGAUAUAAAAUUAACUAUUUAUAAAAUAAUUAAAGGAUCCUCUAAAUAGAGUCAGAUGAAAAAGUUACCCUGGGGAUAACAGCGUUAUCUUCUUUUAGAGGACUAAUCGAAAAGAAGGUUUGCGACCUCGAUGUUGGAUUUGGGUAUCUGUCUGGUUGCAGGAGCUAGAGGAGUAGGACUGUUCGUCCUUUAAAACCCAACAUGAUCUGAGUU